rnacentral:rRNA from 1 species
GGGUGAGUACAACGUGGAUAAUCUACCCUAAGGUCCGGGACAACCCCGAGAAAUCGGAGCUAAUACCGGAUAAACCACGGUAUCUAAGGAUACAUCGCCUUUGGAUGAGUCCACGUCCCAUCAGGUAGUUGGUAAGGUAAAAGCUUACCAAGCCUAAGACGGGUAGCCGGCCUUAGCGGGUGAACGGCCACAUGGGGACUGAGACACGGCCCUGACUCCUACGGGAGGCAGCAGUGGGGAAUAUUGGGCAAUGGGCGAAAGCCUGACCCAGCGAUGUCGCGUGAGGGAUGAAGGCCUUCGGGUCGUAAACCUCUGUCGGGAGGGACGACGGUACCUCCAGAGGAAGCCCCGGCUAACUCCGUGCCAGCAGCCGCGGUAAUACGGAGGGGGCAAGCGUUGCUCGGAAUUACUGGGCGUAAAGGGUCCGCAGGCUGUCAGGCAAGUUGGUUGUGAAAGCUCAAGGCUUAACCUUGGAA